rnacentral:lncRNA from 1 species
GCCUGUCGUUAGACCAUUGGGAAAAACCAGAGAUGACAAUUGAAUUGAACCUAUUAAUACUCUCGUAUAGGCUUUCUUCUGCUCAUCAGUCGGAUCGCCGAAAUGAAGAGUUCUGGUUACAUCGAUGCACCCAACGUAUAGCAGCAAGGUGAUGGAAGCCAGAUAGUAUUCCAAGCUUGAGACAUGGUCCUCAAAUCAUGCCAAAUAGAUGUGUAAUUAUGCCACCUAUUAAUAUAAUGUUGGACGAAGAGACUAUCCUGAAAGUUUUAAUUUAUAUCACUCACUUGACGCAGUUCUUAUGAUAGCAGGAAUCGGUCUUCAAGUGUAUAUCAAUAGCCCGUAAGAUCUUUUGUCGAGAUACAUAAAGAUGCACAGAUCCGUGAGUGAUAAUUGCGUAAGACCUCAGAACAGGCGUGUGUGGCAGAUCGUAGCCGCGGAUGUUGAAAAGCCAUGAUAUCUCGUCCAGAGCGGUGACGACGAGUGCAUCGGCCGACUCAAGUACCAUUUCCAGCCGAAUACGUUGGAUCUUCUCCUGCCAUGGUUUGCCCGAAUAUUCAUCUGUUAGCGGAUAUGCUGCAUGCGGAUUGUACUCAGGCCGACCCACCUGCCAGAUCAAGUCCACCAGGUCGUUACCGAUUGCGACCAAUCUUACGGGUGAAUUUUCUAAACAUGAACAGGAUUGUUAGUUGCGUAAUGAAGAAAAUCUACUUGGAUUCGUCAUGAUAGUUGAAUCUGCUUCGAAACUUUAAAGAAGAGCUGAAGUAUCAAUUUUGGAUUAGCACCGAUACGCACUUCUGUCUGAUUUUGAAAUUCAUGCAUUAACCACUCCGCUAUCGAUGUUUGUUACAUAAUAUUUCAAAUCGGCCCUUACUCGAAGAUUGAGUUUCAUAACUAUUGAAAUUGUGGUAGCAGCUACGAUUGGAAUGUUCUAACUAUCGAUUAUGAUGGACAAUAAUCGAAUAACAAGACUUUGUUCACAUUAAAUCAUGUUUAUUAACUCUAGAUCAAUAACUUAUGAAUUUGAGUAAUGUAGUAGUUACUAAUUCUUCGUCUGUUAAACUACGAAAUAAAAUACA